UACACACACAGUUACGCACACACACACACACACGCAUAUUGUAUAUAUACAUGUACACAGGAACACUAAUGUAGAGAUAUCUCAUUUCAUAGGCGCAUGGCAUAAUGGUUUGUGUCUUGCAGACACGAUGGCAAUAUCGUGGUUUCGAUUCCAGACAGGUGUUCCUUGUGUUUUUCAGCUAAGCACUUCAUUUCAUGUUGCUUCAGUUAACUCGGCUCUAAAAAGAUAAACUGACAGCUGAUUGUCCAAAGAAAACUUCAAAUGUAACUCGUAGACACUUCUCUUGAAAAUGAGAAAAUUUGGCCUCAUGAUGCUAUCAAGUAACUUCAGAAAAAGAAUUCAGCCCCAAUGUUAUUCAUGCCGACAUGGUUGCUAUCUCAAGAGAUGACUCUCCAGCUUUAUCAUCUGUGGAAAAGUGAAGAGCUGAAUUAAGGAGGGGAAGGGAGGGUCUUGAAUAUGACUGACGGUUUGGACGUCCUGCAACUGCCACCAUCAAAGAAAUACAAGAUGAUAGAUGACAGGUGAUUGACAAUAAAUCAAAUAACCAAUGCUAUUAGCAUAUCCUGUGAAAAAGUCGAGAAUAUUAUACACAAUGAAUUUAUUAUGACGAAUAUUUCUGCUCGGUGAGUGUCACGUCUGAAUUAUAUUUUUCGACUUAAAAUAACUUUUGAUGAAAGCAGAAUGUUCUACAUUUUACUUUAACAUAACUGAGAGAAAAUUGUGAAAUUUUUUCUAGAGUUUUGAAUUAUUCUUGAUGAAAGAAAACAACAUUCUGCAGUGCCAUUGAUGACUGAUGUUUGCGUAUAUCUUAUUUCAUUAUUAAUGAAACCUAACUCACGUCCGAUUUUUACUAACUAUUUAAGAUUAUGUAAAGAAAGUAGGAGGGUGGGGGAUGUCUCUCAGUUAUAUGUCUCUGUAAGUUUCUUUCAUUCAAUAUUUAGAAUCUAAUACUCGAUACUUAUCUGAACAUAAGAGUUGCUUAUUCAUAUUGUAACAAUGUGCAAUGAAAAUAAAACAUUAAACUACA